CCAAAAGGUUACAGGGAGCAGUGCCAACCUGCGUACGCUAAGGGAAAGAUAAAAACACGUAUGUACACGCCUACAAAAUAGUAAAUAGAGUAAAUUUGACCAUUUCAAUGCUGUUCUGAUGACUGGCCGCAAAAAGUGCUGAGUGGCAGACCGCAGUUGCAUGUGAACACACAGAGCAUCAGCAGGCUUCGUCUAAAGUUGACAGGACGCCAUGGAUAAACUACCCAGCAUCCCCUCUGAGGAGCCCAGGCUGAAGAGAGACUUUGACCAGAUGGUGUUCAUCAACAGAAACCUGACGCUGGAAAACAUCCGAUGCUAUGGAUUUGACAUGGACUACACGAUGGCCAUGUAUAAGUCUCCUGACUAUGAGAGUUUGGGCUUUGAGCUCUUAAGAGACAGAAUGGUGUCUGUCGGAUACCCUCAUGAGCUUCUGCGCUACACAUACGACCCCAGCUUCCCCACUCGCGGUUUAGUGAUCGACACCAAAUACGGGAACCUCCUGAAGGUGGACUCCAACGGGAAUAUUUUAGUCUGCAGUCAUGGCUUCACCUUCCUCAAUGGAGAAGACAUUCAAAAAUACUACCCCAACAAGUUCAUCCAAAGAGACGACACCGACCGUUUCUACAUCCUCAACACUCUGUUCAACCUCUCAGAGACUUACUUCUACACCUGCCUUGUGGACUUCUUCACCAGAUGCUCCAGAUACACAAACCUUGAGAAAGGUUUCCAGCACGGCGACUUGUUUAUGUCCUACAGAAGCAUGUUCCAGGAUCUUCGAGACGCGAUGGACUUCAUUCAUGAUACGGGAGCCCUGAAGGGAUGCACUGUCAAGAAUCUGGAGAAAUAUGUUAUCAAAGAUCCAAAUCUCCCUGCACUCUUAACCCGACUCAAAGUGACGGCCAAGGUCUUCCUCGCCACCAACAGUGACUACAGCUACACUAAGGCUAUUAUGAAAUACCUGCUUGAAAGUAAUGUUAAGUCUGGAAAUGAAAAGGAGUCAUGGCGCUCGUACUUUGACCUCAUCGUGGUGGACACUAAAAAGCCUCUGUUCUUUGGAGAGGGGACAGUGCUGAGACAAGUGGACACGAACACAGGAAAGCUUCGGAUCGGGACGUACACCGGAGACCUCCAACAUGGAACAGUGUACUCCGGAGGCUCUUCAGACCUCAUCAGCGACCUGCUGGAGGUCAAAGGUAAAGACAUCCUUUACGUUGGCGACCACAUCUUUGGCGACAUCCUGAAAUCUAAGAAGCGUCAGGGCUGGAAGACGUUCCUGGUCGUACCGGAGCUCAACAAAGAGCUGCUCAUCUGGGACAAGAAGCAGAGUAUGUUUGAAGAGCUGAAACGUCUCGACUUCUUCUUAGCUGAGCUCUACAAGUUGUCUGCAGGCAUCUGGACAGCGGCAGUCAGGAGUGUCCUGACAUCAUUGCCAUUCAGACCAGAAUGAAAGUGCUGACUCACAGGAUGGACAUGUCCUACGGUCAAAUGGGCAGCCUCCUGCGCAGCGGCUCCAGACAGACGCUGUUUGCCAGCCAGAUGCUACGUUACGCAGAUCUUUACUCUGCCACCUGCCUCAACCUGCUGCACUACCCCUUCAACUACCAUUUCAUGGCCCCCCCAGUCCUGAUGCCCCAUGAAUCUGUGUUGCAACAAUCGACUGAUUUCGCUUCAACGGAGCUCACCGUCACCAACAACAUUGUCAAGAUGACCAGAAACUAAGGAGCUAAGAACAGCUGUGAUGUUUCAGAAGAAGAUAUACAGAGAAUAUCGUGUCUCUGCAUGUCAUGGACACAGAGUGACUGUUUGCACCUGAGCUUGUAUAAAGAGUUUGAUGCAGCCUUGAAGUGACUCAAAGAAAACUAACUUAUUGCCCCCCCUAGUGGAUAUGAAGUGCUAUGCAACAAGCUCUUAGCAGACUCAGGGUUCUGACUGUUUGUGUGUUUGUUUGUAUACUAUUAUGUAUGUACAUACAUGUAGUGUUGCAUCUGCACUUUUUAUUUGUGUCAUUAUUUGUAAUAAGUAUCUUUAUUUAUGUUUUGUUUGUGAAACUUCGGCUGAGCCAUUUCAAUAAAUCGUUUAUAUCAUUUGU